rnacentral:rRNA from 1 species
UACGUAGGGGGCAAGCGUUGUCCGGAUUUACUGGGCGUAAAGAGCGUGUAGGCGGCCAAACAGGUCCGUUGUGAAAACUGGAGGCUCAACCUCCAGACGUCGACGGAACCGUGUGGCUAGAGUCCGGAAGAGGAGAGUGGAAUUCCUGGUGGUAGCGGUGAAAUGCGCAGAUAUCAGGAAGAACACCAAUGGCGAAGGCAGCU